rnacentral:rRNA from 1 species
UACGUAGGGGGCAAGCGUUAUCCGGAUUUACUGGGUGUAAAGGGGGCGCAGACGGCGAUGCAAGCCAGGAGUGAAAGCCCGGGGCCCAACCCCGGGACUGCUCUUGGAACUGCGUGGCUGGAGUGCAGGAGGGGCGGGCGGAAUUCCUGGUGUAGCGGUGAAAUGCGUAGAUAUCAGGAGGAACACCGGUGGCGAAGGCGGCCUGCUGGACUGCAACUGACGUUGAGGCCCGAAAGCGUGGGGAGCAAACAGG